AGCGAUUUUCUGGCCUGAAAAUGAGUGUGUUUCAGGGGCUAGGCGACGACGCUGGUGAGGCGUUCUCCAAGGCGCGAAAGGCGUGAAAGGCGUCCUCCAAGGCGUGAAAGGCGUACGCGCAGAAAAAAUGCGAAGUGACGUCGUUUUGAAACAGAAUGGGUUUAAAGGCUUCCAGGUCGCGACUGCUACCCCAAAUUCGAUUUCAGCCCUCUGCCCCUCUCUGUUCCAAAAGGUAGCGAUUCGAUCCCUAACCCAGAGUUCGAGUUAGGAGUUCGAUUUCAGCCCGAUUUCAGCCCUCUGCCCCUCUCUGCGCAGCAGUCAAUUUGAGCUUGAUUGGAGGUCGAUUCGCAACAGGCUAUUUGAAGGUAUUGGAGUUGGAUACUUGGAUUCGCAACAUGCCAUUUGAACUUCUGAAGAUUUUGUGAUCCCAUUGGAAAAUGAGGGAGAAGGGGUUUGAUUAUACUGUGGUGUUAAUGUCAGAGAUUAGUAUGCUGCGGAUGGAGGGGAGUGGAACUCCUCUUAUGUCAACAAGCUGACACGCCCUGUUCGCAGGGAUUCCGCAUUGGCAACUGCCAACAUUGAAUAGGUUAGCUUUCCUUCUUGACUUUUUGUACUAGAUAGUUAGUCUUGUUUUCAAUCUCCAUUGGUCAAUUCCCUGUUACAGAUUUACAUGCAUCUUGUUUGAAGUUGCUGAAGUUUACUGCACUGUAAUGUGUUUAUUGUUUUACAUAGACUCUAAUGUGUAUUGUUUUACCUCGAAUUGAUCACAUUGAGCUUUGUUUUUGAA